UUCUUUAAGAUUUAAUUUAAAGUAAAACCUGCUCAAUGAAAUUAUCAAAUAGCCGCAGUUUUACUGUGCAAAGGUAGCAUAAUAAUUUGCUUCUUAAUUAGAAGAUAGUAUGAAGGGUUAAACAUUUAAAACAUGUUUUUAAUAAAUAACAUUAAACUAAAGUUAGGGUUAAAAUCCCCUAUAUACACAGUGGGACGACAAGACCCUGAUAAACUUAAAAAUUAGUUGGGGAAACUAAAUAAACAAACUUUAUUUCAUUCCACAAAAAAUCUUUUAAUAAAAUACAGUUACUACAGGGAUAACAGCGCUAUUUCUUUUAAGAGAUCUUAUCUAAAAAGAAGAUUACGACCUCGAUGUUGAAUUAAUUUAUCUAUUAAUGUGUAUAAGCAUAAUAAGAUAGUCUGUUCGACCAUUAAACAAUU
rnacentral:rRNA from 1 species